rnacentral:rRNA from 1 species
AUAUCAGAUAUUAAACUGAUAAGAACAGAUACUACACUUGAUCUUAGCCAAAAGGCCGAGAAAGGUAUGCUUUGAACCGCUGGCCACCCCUGCUGUUUAUAG